AUUUUUCGAGGCACUUUGGAAGCGAUCCUUUUCCGUUCCUAUAAAAGGCUGUUCGUCUGGCAGAAACCCCACUUCACUUGAUCGACCAUGAAGACUUGUGUGGCGCUUCUCCUGCUGUCGGUGCUCGGCCUCGCCAUCUGCGGGCCGCUCGCUCCUGAGGCCAAGGCGGGAAACCCAGCUCCUGCCGACGCCGAAAGACCCCACAAGGUUGCCCUCCGCGAUGGUAGCUGGCAGUCGGAAGGGUCCUGGUCAAGCAGCUAUGGCCCUUCAGCGGGAUAUGGAAGCUCUUCUGCAACCUAGGCUCUGCAGCAAACUCUGCAACCACGCCUUCUGCAGUCAGUCUUCUGGAACAGCACCGCUGCUGCAUAUCCUCAGGCUCUUCUCUUUGGCAAAUCUCGGAAACAGUUGGUUGAAUAAAUUUAAGUUUUCUCUUGUAUCGUAACCCAACUGAAAUAAACCUAUUGGCACGUAGAUCAGUCUUAAUGCUUCUGUAUUACUGAAGUCAGCUUCGCUGUGGCCUCCCGCCUCCCCUUCCUCACUUGUGUUAGGACUUGUUCUUCGGCGGACACAGAAGAGCAAGCUUUGACGUGAGAACGGCACCGAUCCCUAUGACUCCCAGAGAAAGCAACCACUUGCUGCCUUGCGUUUUCAGUGGAGAAGGUAAACAAACCAAUCUUGACGAUAAGCGACGAUCUUUUCUUUGGUGGGACAUUUGAUUUGAGUCCGAUUCUGAUUCGAGUGAUUUUCUUGCUUAUGAGACUCAAAACAGUAUAAGAAACAUGCUGCGUCGAAAUCGCCCAUUUUUGCGGCCACUUAUUCCAGCCGCAAGCACACUGUCGAUAUAGUUGCAAGAGCUCGCUUUUCCUGGAUUUCUUAGAGUGCAUGCACCCGGAAGAAGAGGCCUUUGGCUGCUGGUGCAUAUUAUAUAGUUUGUUAUUACAAAGAUUGUGUUUAAUAUAAAAGAAUUUCAUUAUUUUAUCACUAUUGUUUUGGUUAGUGUACAAGGUAACCUGGGAAAUAUAGAUGAAUAUAACAAUAUUAAGAUUUCAAGUAAAAUAGUCAGUCAGUAAGGUUCUGUUAACUUUAAACCAAUAAUUUUAAUUCUUCAAACUAAUAUAAUAUCACGUAUCAUGAAUAUUGUUGCUCAGUAAAAAGUUAUAAGAUUCAUAGAUGGUUGGUAAAAAUUCUUUGAAAUGUUCUCGUGCAUAAAGCUACACACAUAUGAAAAGUGAUGAUAACCUUUUUUUUUCCAUUUUUACAUGCAAUCAAGCAAAGAAGAAGAACAAUAAAUCUACAUUUGUCUGUUACUUCUAGCACACGUAUCAAUGUUCAAAAGGUUCUAAAAUGAAAUUGAAUUUAAAUCGUACAUGACAUAUUUCACAUUUGAUGGUAGUCUACUAAAUCCUACUUAACAUUCAAGUUUAAGAACGGUAUUCUCCCCUCGAGAAGAACAUUAAACCCAUUUUCUAUAGUAAAUCAGCUCAGGGCCCCGUGGUUUCAUGCCAUAUCCUAUAUUUUUCUUAUCUGUACAUAAACAUUCUGUUCCCUUCCUUGUUCCAUUCCGCUGUGUUACGCUGGUACUGAAGAUGCUGAUACUGACGGAGCUAAUGUUGGUUAUAUCUAUCUAUCUAUCCUCAUUAUCACUAACACUAUCACCAACACUGAACAGAAAAUACGUUAGAGCGAUGGUAGUCAUCCAUUAAAGGC